AUUCAGUUAUUGCUUUCCAAUUUUGCACGUGACUAUGGAAUUUAAUUCAUGCGUUCCAUAGUGUUAUUAGAGGAAACAUAAUGGUGGUUUUAUUGCUAUUUUUUCAUUCUCAGGUUUAUGAAGUUCUGAAGCUGCUAAAUGAGCUCUACCUACUAUAGCUAGAGAUCAAGAUGCUCAACAGGUGUUGGAUAAGGAAUCCUUUUUAGUUAAUUCCCCUAGCCUUCUGCAAAAAUUCGGAAUGCAUAUACUUCCCUUGUUGAUCCAGGUAGUUAAUUCUGGUGCAAAUUUAUAUGUUUGCUAUGGCUGCCUUUCUGUUAUCAACAAGUUAGUUUAUUUCAGCAAAUCUGACAUGCUUCUUGAAUUGCUUAACAAUACCAACAUUUCAAGUUUUUUGGCCGGAGUGUUCACUUGAAA